UACGUAGGGUGCAAGCGUUAAUCGGAAUUACUGGGCGUAAAGCGUGCGCAGGCGGUGAUGUAAGACAGAUGUGAAAUCCUCGGGCUCAACCUGGGAACUGCAUUUGUGACUGCAUCGCUGGAGUGCGGCAGAGGGGGAUGGAAUUCCGCGUGUAGCAGUGAAAUGCGUAGAUAUGCGGAGGAACACCGAUGGCGAAGGCAAUCCCCUGGGCCUGCACUGACGCUCAUGCACGAAAGCGUGGGGAGCAAACAGG
rnacentral:rRNA from 1 species